CACAUGCAGUCGAGCGGUAGAGAGAAGCUUGCUUCUCUUGAGAGCGGCGGACGGGUGAGUAAUGCCUAGGAAUCUGCCUGGUAGUGGGGGAUAACGUUCGGAAACGGACGCUAAUACCGCAUACGUCCUACGGGAGAAAGCAGGGGACCUUCGGGCCUUGCGCUAUCAGAUGAGCCUAGGUCGGAUUAGCUAGUUGGUGAGGUAAUGGCUCACCAAGGCAACGAUCCGUAACUGGUCUGAGAGGAUGAUCAGUCACACUGGAACUGAGACACGGUCCAGACUCCUACGGGAGGCAGCAGUGGGGAAUAUUGGACAAUGGGCGAAAGCCUGAUCCAGCCAUGCCGCGUGUGUGAAGAAGGUCUUCGGAUUGUAAAGCACUUUAAGUUGGGAGGAAGGGCAGUUACCUAAUACGUGAUUGUUUUGACGUUACCGACAGAAUAAGCACCGGCUAACUCUGUGCCAGCAGCCGCGGUAAUACAGAGGGUGCAAGCGUUAAUCGGAAUUACUGGCGUAAGCGCGCGUAGGUGGUAGUAAGUGAUGUGAAUCCCGGCUCACCUGGACUGCAUUCAAACUGACUGACUAGAGUAUGGAGAGGUGU
rnacentral:rRNA from 1 species